UUAUCCUUUUUAACAACAAUCGAAAAAUGUUGCCAGAACUAAGGAAAACGUCCCCUAAAGGUAUAGGGGACGUUUUCCGAACAUCUCCUAUACGAGCGUCGCCUAUAGUCUAUGGGGACGUUUUUUCAUGUUCUUUGGGCACAGUUUUUGAAAACGUCGCCUAAACCUUAGGAAUAGGAGACGAUUUUUUGGGGAUUCUGAGGGGACGUUUUUAAAUGUCCCCAUAGGUUGCUUCAUAAAAACGUCCCCAUAGCUUACAGGCAACAUUUUUAGAGUGUCCUUGUAAAAUUUUAGAAUUUUCCAAUUAUUUUAGAAAUGUAACUAUAGCUUAAAGGCAAUAUUAGAAUUGUCAAUUAUAACUCAAACAAAUCGAAUUUAACAAUACAACCACAAAAGAAGUAAUAUAAUAACAUAGUUCAAACAUUAAUUCAAGACAUAAUAGUAAUCAAAAUGUCAAACAUUACUUGAUAAGUUUAAUGCUUCGAAAUAUAAGCCUAGCAAAAUAACAACUAUAGUUCGGACAAGUUUAGUGGUUUAUCUACAAUCCAAAAUGUGGCUUAACUACAAUCCAAAAUAAAACACCAUCCAAUCAUUCAAGUUUAUCUUGUAAUUCAUCAGCCAAAUCGUCCACUUCAAAUUCAUCACCGAUGUCAUUCUCUUAAAUUUCAUCAUCUAGGUCAUCCUCUUGAAAUUCAUCAUCUAUAUCAUCCUCCUGAAAUUCAUCACUUAAGUUGUCCUCAAGAAAUUCGUCCUCAAGAAAUUCAUCAUCUACGUCUUCCUCCUCAUCUAUGUCAUCCUGUACAGCAUCUUCAUUGAUAACUUGCUGCAUAAGAACAAAAUACAUCAACCAUAGAAAACUUGUUUUACACAUUUCCCUUCCUUAUUCUAUCAUUACAAGCUCAUUUUUAAGUUUCUGCAACUUAUGCCAUGUUAUGCAACAGAGAAAGAAACACAAAAUGCAGAAAAAUAAAUCACAAGUUUGCACAAACACCACAAAUUGCAUAAACAAUUUAUGCAUAAAAUUCUGCAACACAAUCAAAAUCCGACUUUGGACAUGCAUUUUAAACAAUUCAGCCAAACAACAUAAUCAUAAGUUCGCACAGCUCUAAUUUAGACCCAACAUACGCAAGUUAACAAUUUCAGACACUUGCCUACAUUCCAAGUGAUGUCAUUACUAACAACUUUUUGCAUAUAUUAACAAGCAAAAUAUAACUAGUUUAACUCAAUUACAAUAACAUAAUCAACAAUAUUUCUAUAUAUGGUUACCUUUUCAGGACAUGGAGUAU
rnacentral:lncRNA from 1 species